rnacentral:rRNA from 1 species
GACGAACGCUGGCGGCGUGCUUAACACAUGCAAGUCGAACGGAAAGGCCCUGCUUUUGUGGGGUGCUCGAGUGGCGAACGGGUGAGUAACACGUGAGUAACCUGCCCUUGACUUUGGGAUAACUUCAGGAAACUGGGGCUAAUACCGGAUAGGAGCUCCUGCUGCAUGGUGGGGGUUGGAAAGUUUCGGCGGUUGGGGAUGGACUCGCGGCUUAUCAGCUUGUUGGUGGGGUAGUGGCUUACCAAGGCUUUGACGGGUAGCCGGCCUGAGAGGGUGACCGGCCACAUUGGGACUGAGAGACGGCCCAGACUCCUACGGGAGGCAGCAGGGGGGAAUAUUGCACAAUGGGCGGAAGCCUGAUGCAGCAACGCCGCGUGCGUGAUGACGGCCUUCGGGUUGUAAACCGCUUUCGCCUGUGACGAAGCGUGAGUGACGGUAAUGAGUAAAGAAGCACCGGCUAACUACGUG